UGAGGAAUAUUGGUCAAUGGGCGAGAGCCUGAACCAGCCAAGUAGCGUGAAGGAUGAAGGUCCUAUGGAUUGUAAACUUCUUUUAUAGUAGAAUAAAGUGAGCCACGUGUGGUUUUUUGUAUGUAUACUAUGAAUAAGGAUCGGCUAACUCCGUGCCAGCAGCCGCGGUAAUACGGAGGAUCCGAGCGUUAUCCGGAUUUAUUGGGUUUAAAGGGUGCGUAGGUGGUUUGAUAAGUCAGCGGUGAAAGUUUGCAGCUUAACUGUAAAAAUGCCGUUGAAACCGUCGGACUUGAGUGUAAAUGAGGUAGGCGGAAUGCGUGGUGUAGCGGUGAAAUGCUUAGAUAUCACGAGGAACUCCGAUUGCGAAGGCAGCGUGCCGGAGUGCAACUGACGCUGAAGCUCGAAAGUGCGGGUAUCGAACA
rnacentral:rRNA from 1 species